UGACUGCGAGCGUGACGGCGCGAGCAGGUGCGAAAGCAGGUCAUAGUGAUCCGGUGGUUCUGAAUGGAAGGGCCAUCGCUCAACGGAUAAAAGGUACUCCGGGGAUAACAGGCUGAUACCGCCCAAGAGUUCAUAUCGACGGCGGUGUUUGGCACCUCGAUGUCGGCUCAUCACAUCCUGGGGCUGAAGUAGGUCCCAAGGGUAUGGCUGUUCGCCAUUUAAAGUGGUACGCGAGCUGGGUUUAGAACGUCGUGAGACAGUUCGGUCCCUAUCUGCCGUGGGCGCUGGAGAACUGAGGGGGGCUGCUCCUAGUACGAGAGGACCGGAGUGG
rnacentral:rRNA from 1 species